CACAGCUAUUCUUAGCCCUGACCUUUGCUAUGGGCCAAACCCGGCCCCACAACUUCCAAUAGGGGACCCGAAAAGGGGUCUGUCUGGGACCUAUAGGUUUCCCUUUUCAGGGGGGGUCCCCUAUAGGGGAUACGUGGAUUUGGAUCAAGUAGGGCCCCUUGUAGGAAUCGAGGGGCCCUAUAGGGGUCCUGUUAGGGAUUGAGGGCCUCUAUGGGGCCUCUAUGGGGUUCCUAUAGGAGAAUUAAGGCCACGGGGGGAUCCCUAUAGGGUCCCUAUAGCGGAAUGGAGCCCGGAGGGGGCACCUAUAGGGUUCCUAUGAGGGAACUGAGGCCACUGAGGAUCCCUAUAGGGUUCCUGUUUAGGAUUGAGAGCUCCUAUGGGGUUUCUAUGGAGUCCCUAUAGGAGAACAACGGCCGCUGGGUGUCCCCAUGGGGUUUCUAUAGGGCUUCUCGGGGUCUGAUGGCCCCUAUGGGGUCCCUACAGGGGACUGAAGGCCACUGGGGGUCCUUAUGGGGAUCCUAUAGAGUCCCUAUAGGAGAAUGGGGGUCAAUAAGGGCCCCUGUGGGGUUUCUAUAGGGCUUCUUGGGGUCUGAUGGCCCCUAUGGGGUCCCUAUAGGGGACUGAAGGCCACUGGGGGUCCUUAUGGGGUUCCUAUAGAGUCCCUAUAGGAGAAGGGGGGUCAAUAAGGGCCCCUGUGGGGUUUCUAUAGGGUCACUAUAAGGGAAUAAAGGCCACUUUGGGCCCUUAUGGGGUUCCUAUGGGAGUCAGUGAGGGCCCUUAUGGGGUUUCUAUAGGGCCCCUAUAGGGGACUGAAGGCCACUGGGGGGUCCCUAUGGGGUUCCCAUAGGAGAAUGGGGGUCAGUGAGGGCCCCUAUGGGGUUUCUAUAGGGUCACUAUAAGGGAAUAAAGGCCACUUUGGGCCCUUAUGGGGUUCCUAUGGGAGUCAGUGAGGGCCCCUAUGGGGUUUCUAUAGGGUCACUAUAAGGGAAUAAAGGCCACUUUGGGCCCUUAUGGGGUUCCUAUGGGAGUCAGUGAGGGCCCAUAUGGGGUUUAUAUAGGGCCCCUAUAGGGGAAUGAAGGCCACUGGGGGUCCUUAUGGGGUUCCCAUAGGAGAAUGGGGGUCAAUAAGGGCCCCUAUGGGGUUUCUAUAGGGCCCCUAUAGAGGAAUGAAGGCCCCUGGGAGCCCUUAUGGGGUCCCUAUAGGAGAACGGGGGUGAGUAAGCACCCCUGUGAGGAUUCUAUAGGGUCCUCAUAAGCGAAAAGAACCCGGUGGGGAUUCCUAUAGGGUCCCUGUUAAUGGCUGAGGGUCUUUAUGGGGUUCCUAUGAGGUCCCUCACCCGUCCAUAGGCGCCGCCGCCGCCCCUAUAGCGCUCCCAGCGAGGGACCCCCUAUACCCCCCCAUUGGUUCCUUCCGCCUUUUGCCCCGCCCCUUCCGGCGCCGAACCAAUCAGCGCGCCCCGGCGGGGAGGAGUGGGCGG
ensembl:lncRNA